CCCUGAUGCAGCCAUGCCGCGUGUGUGAAGAAGGCCUUCGGGUUGUAAAGCACUUUCAGUAGGGAGGAAGGUAGUGUAGUUAACACCUGCAUUAUUUGACGUUACCUACAGAAGAAGCACCGGCUAACUCCGUGCCAGCAGCCGCGGUAAUACGGAGGGUGCGAGCGUUAAUCGGAAUUACUGGGCGUAAAGCGCAUGCAGGCGGCCUGUUAAGUCAGAUGUGAAAGCCCGGGGCUUAACCUCGGAAUUGCAUUUGUAAACUGGCAGGCUAGAGUCUUGUAGAGGGGGGUAGGAAUUUCAGGUGUAGCGGUGAAAUGCGUAGAGAUCUGAAGGAAUACCAGUGGCGAAGGCGGCCCCCUCGGACAAAGACUGACGCUCAGAUGCGAAAGCGUGGGGAGCAAACAGGAUUAGAUACCCUGGUAG
rnacentral:rRNA from 1 species